GGGUUUGAUGAUGACAUUGCAUUUGGGCUGAAAGGAGUUUAUGUCUUAAAAAACAGGCUCAAUAGGAUUAUGCUGAGGCCC
rnacentral:snoRNA from 1 species